AAACCGGUGGGGAAGGAACGCUGCGACUCGCCAUGGCUCGUGGCCUAGGUUAACGGUUUACAUUGCACAUUGUGAGCGCGUUGAUCUAUCAUCUUCUCUUUGUAGAAGAAUGGACGUCAUAAUUUGUGAUAGAGAGGUACGCGUUCGUGCGGCCCCUAA
rnacentral:snRNA from 16 species